GACGAACGCUGGCGGCGUGCUUAACACAUGCAAGUCGAACGGAAAGGCCCUGCUUUUGUGGGGUGCUCGAGUGGCGAACGGGUGAGUAACACGUGAGUAACCUGCCCUUGACUUUGGGAUAACUUCAGGAAACUGGGGCUAAUACCGGAUAGGAGCUCCUGCUGCAUGGUGGGGGUUGGAAAGUUUCGGCGGUUGGGGAUGGACUCGCGGCUUAUCAGCUUGUUGGUGGGGUAGUGGCUUACCAAGGCUUUGACGGGUAGCCGGCCUGAGAGGGUGACCGGCAAAAUGGGGACUGGUAACAGGCCGAGCCUCCGCCGGGAGGAAGAAGGGGGGAAUUUUGCAAAAGGGGGGGAGGCCUGAUGCAGCACCGCCGCGUGGGGGGUGGCGGCCUUGGGUUGGUAACCCGUUUGCGCCGGGGAAGAGGGGUGAGGGGGGUAAGGGGGUAAAGAAACCCCGGCUAACUCGGGC
rnacentral:rRNA from 1 species